rfam:Ornithorhynchus anatinus chromosome 7, whole genome shotgun sequence.
UCCUUCUCAGGAUUGCACCUGGAGAGUUUCUAGUACCCUACCAGUUUCUGCAACAAGAGGGAGAGUCAAGCAGAGGCAUACCCAUUCCAUUCCUAGCUUGGGCAGUGGCUAGUAAGUAGAAGGUAAUCUGCUAUGAGU